rnacentral:misc_RNA from 1 species
CUGCUUUAUGCUGUGGCAUAAGUAACUUGGUUUUGAUAUGAAUCAAUUUUGUUUGUAGAAAACUUGAUGUGAAGUUGUGAAUUGCAUAGUGUUCGAGGUCAUAGAUGACUAUUGACAAUUUUGAGUGAUGCUACUUGUCAAAUAUUCUCUACUUCUCUCAAAUAGAUGAAAGACUUUGAGAUUCUUUUUUCCCCCUAAUUAUGAUAACAAUGUAUGUACAUUUACUUAUCAUUUAAUGCUGCUUCUUGGAUUUAGGAGUUGCCAUUUUGAGAUCUAUAAGACAAAUGAGAAUGUCCUUUUUAGGUAUAAUAUAGUUGAUAUUUUCAUUUUGUUACCUCUUUAAGCAGCAAAAAACUAGUGGAAGAUUUUGGGGCUAGUUCUUGCCAUUUUUAUGCACUUCUUCUUUGAAUGAUGUGAAGUUUUACAAGAAAUAUAAAAAUGAGAUGAUGCUCCUUGUUUGCGUGAAAACUUCCAACACUAUACAAGUCAUAUUAUCUAUUGAUAUGGCUACAAAAACUGAAUCUUUUUUCCCCUAUAUUAUUGGUCUAUGUAACACAGAAACGGAAAUGGAAAUGUGGACACGAGAAAAUAUGGAAAUGGAGACAGCAAAACGGCAUUUUCAAAAAUAUAGG